UGGUUGGACUAACUGGAUUCUAAGUUCUAUUCCUGCUCUGACCUUCUCUGGGAACAGUAAAGUGUCAUAGUAAGAGCACUAAAUUUAGCCUUGGAGACUGGGUUUGAGUUUCCAUCCUUUUCUACCUGUAUGACUUUGAGCACAGAAUUUCUCUGGGCCUCCAUUUCCUUUUCUUUUAUCUCUCCAAGGUCCUGACUAAAUUAGAAGCUGGUGAUCCAUGCAAAUAGCAGGAUGUGGUCAGUUAGCUCAGCUUGUUAGACUACAAGUACCCAUGAGGCCAGUGGCUUCCUGAAAGGGGCAAUGAGAAUUUUUCCAUUCCAUCUGGAUAGACUACAUCCUAAUGCAGAGCCAGUCAUCAUGCAAACCAGUCCAUUUAUCCCAAAUGAAACAAGCCUUCUCCGUGGUGCUCAAGGUUACAGUGUUUGAUGAUGGGAAGCAGCGAGAACCAACCAAGUCAAAGAUGACUGCUGACGAUCAAAUGGAAUGA
rnacentral:lncRNA from 1 species